GAGGUUGUGGCUCAUUGGUAGAGCGCUCACCUAGCAUGUGUGAGGCCCUGCGUUCGAUCCUCAGCACCACA
rnacentral:tRNA from 1 species